rnacentral:rRNA from 1 species
GAUGAACGCUAGCGGGAGGCUUAACACAUGCAAGUCGAGGGGCAUCACGAGGUAGCAAUACUUUGGUGGCGACCGGCGCACGGGUGAGUAACACGUAUGCAACCUUCCCUGUACAGGGGGAUAACCCGGAGAAAUUCGGACUAAUACCCCAUGAUGAUAUUUAUGGGCAUCCAUUGAUAUUUAAAGCUCUGGCGGUACAGGAUGGGCAUGCGCGACAUUAGCUAGUUGGUAAGGUAACGGCUUACCAAGGCUACGAUGUUUAGGGGACCUGAGAGGGUUGUCCCCCACACUGGUACUGAGACACGGACCAGACUCCUACGGGAGGCAGCAGUGAGGAAUAUUGGUCAAUGGGCGCAAGCCUGAACCAGCCAUCCCGCGUGAAGGAAGAAUGCGCUACGCGUUGUAAACUUCUUUUCCAGGGGGAGAAUUUUCCUGUCGAGACAGGGAUUGACGGUACCCUGGGAAUAAGCAUCGGCUAACUCCGUG